rnacentral:rRNA from 1 species
UACAGAGGUCUCAAGCGUUGUUCGGAUUCAUUGGGCGUAAAGGGUGCGUAGGCGGCGCGGUAAGUCGGAUGUGAAAUCUCGGGGCUUAACUCCGAAACUGCAUUCGAUACUGCCGUGCUUGAGGACUGGAGAGGAGACUGGAAUUUACGGUGUAGCGGUGAAAUGCGUAGAUAUCGUAAGGAAGACCAGUGGCGAAGGCGGGUCUCUGGACAGUUCCUGACGCUGAGGCACGAAGGUCAGGGGAGCAAACGGG